CCUACGGGAGGCAGCAGUGGGGAAUAUUGGACAAUGGGCGAAAGCCUGAUCCAGCAAUGCCGCGUGAGUGAUGAAGGCCUUCGGGUCGUAAAGCUCUUUUACCAGGGAUGAUAAUGACAGUACCUGGAGAAUAAGCUCCGGCUAACUCCGUGCCAGCAGCCGCGGUAAUACGGAGGGAGCUAGCGUUGUUCGGAAUUACUGGGCGUAAAGAGUACGUAGGCGGUUAUUCAAGUCAGAGGUGAAAGCCCGGGGCUCAGCCCCGGAACUGCCUUUGAAACUAGAUAACUAGAGUCUUGGAGAGGUUAGUGGAAUUCCGAGUGUAGAGGUGAAAUUCGUAGAUAUUCGGAAGAACACCAGUGGCGAAGGCGACUAACUGGACAAGUACUGACGCUGAGGUACGAAAGCGUGGGGAGCAAACAGGAUUAGAUACCCUGGUAGUCCACGCCGUAAACGAUGAUAACUAGUUGUUCGGUCACUUGGUGACUGAGUGACGCAGCUAACGCAUUAAGUUAUCCGCCUGGGGAGUACGGUCGCAAGAUUAAAACUUAAAGGAAUUGACGGNUGAGAGNGCGACGACGACACGAGGAGAG
rnacentral:rRNA from 1 species